rnacentral:rRNA from 1 species
GUCUACUAGUUGUCGGGUUUUAAUUAACUUGGUAACGCAGCUAACGCGUGAAGUAGACCGCCUGGGGAGUACGGUCGCAAGAUUAAAACUCAAAGGAAUUGACGGGGACCCGCACAAGCGGUGGAUGAUGUGGAUUAAUUCGAUGCAACGCGAAAAACCUUACCUACCCUUGACAUGUACGGAAGUCACGAGAGAUCGAGAUGUGCUCGAAAGAGAACCGUAACACAGGUGCUGCAUGGCUGUCGUCAGCUCGUGUCGUGAGAUGUUGGGUUAAGUCCCGCAACGAGCGCAACCCUUGUCAUUAGUUGCUACAUUUAGUUGAGCACUCUAAUGAGACUGCCGGUGACAAACCGGAGGAAGGUGGGGAUGACGUCAAGUCCUCAUGGCCCUUAUGGGUAGGGCUUCACACGUCAUACAAUGGUACAUACAGAGGGCCGCCAACCCGCGAGGGGGAGCUAAUCCCAGAAAGUGUAUCGUAGUCCGGAUCGCAGUCUGCAACUCGACUGCGUGAAGUUGGAAUCGCUAGUAAUCGCGGAUCAGCAUGUCGCGGUGAAUACGUUCCCGGGUCUUGUACACACCGCCCGUCACACCAUGGGAGCGGGUUUUACCAGAAGUAGGUAGCUUAACCGCAAGGGGGCGCUUACCACGGUAGGAUUCGUGACUGGGGUGAAGUCGUAACAGGGUAGCCGUAUCGGAAGGUGC